AGAGCUGAGAGCCACCUACUAGCGGCAGGUGGAGCCUCGAGACGGGUGCUGUCGUGGUGAUGGAGGCGCACGCUCGCUUCCCACGCAGUUUGGCCUUUUUGACGUCCCUGGCUGUUGUGGGCAACCGAUUUGGUUGGUCGCGCUGCUUCCUACGCUCGCCGGCGGAGCAGCUAGUGGCACCUGCUCGGAGAGAGGGAGUGGAUCUCUCGGAAGUGCUUGGGGUUUCGCUGAAGCGGACCUGAACAGACCAUGUGUCCUUUAAAUACAGCCAUGCUUUUAGAAACGGACUGUCACUUUAUGUGGACUCAACCAUUGAACAGAAUGUGUGCUUUUGUGAGUGCUGCAAUUCCUUCAAGUGUAAUUGCGCUACUGCAUUUUUGUUGGUCGCAGGGAAGGGGUGUGCCUGCAAAUGUCCGCGUGGUUCGUCCUCAGCCUCUUCCUUUUUACACUGUGCUAGGAUGUUUACUUGCUUGUGGUGGAGGUAGGGGAAGCCAGUAUUUGUGUACUGUGUACUGUCCUGAACCGGCUUUCAUUCCUAACUUUUCAAAGAUUGCUUUAAAGGGGGGGGGGCGCGGGUCAAAUAUUGUUUUAAAGGGGGGGACGGGGUGAGGUCAAUGGUGUGUGCCUUGUAAGUAGAAAUGAAUGAAAGGAAUUUUACUAAUGUGUCACUCAAUUGUUUGAGCUCCUUCUGUUUUGCAUGCCAAAAAUAUAAGGCAAGGAAAAAUGUAUCAUUCUAUCAUGAUUUUAUGGUGCUCUAAUUAAAGGUGUCUUCCCCAACGUCAAUGUCUCAAAUUUUUCGACUUCUUGACACCCUCAGGUUUUCACUAAGGUAAUAAUUUAUGACAAGUAAGAUGUGUGCUUCUCAUGUAAGUUGAUAAAUGGGAGGUAGGAAGGCACAGUAGGACAUAUUGAUGACAUGCCUUGGCUACAGAUUAAUUUAUAAGAGAGUCCAUCACUUUAGGAGAUUUAUUUGCCGAAGUUAAGUACGAGCCCAGGAAACAGGUCUAUGCCUUUCUUCGAAGAUGAUUUUGAGUGCUCCAAAUUUAAAGGGGAAAGGGCGGGAUAUUGAGAAGCACACCGUUUUCAUGUAAGGGGGCGGUAGGAGAAAAUAGUAAUUCUUGCCUUUCUCUGGCUCAGUGAAUCUGCAUUUUUUACAUAAGAUGACAUAAAAUGGGCAGAGGAAGAAUGUGGGAGUCUGCAUUUUUCAUAAGAUAACAGACAAAAUGGGGUAGGGGAACAAUCAGAUAGGCAUUUGUGUCUGGCGGGCUGGGGUGGCCACCUGUAAAGAUAAGCUAUCAAUUUGCAUUGCCAUGAAGUUUUAACAGCACACUAAGAAUUUCCUUGUGGGCAAAAUACGGGGGAGAGAUGUAGCUUUUCAUCUUGCAGCAAUCUUAUUUAGGAACCAAAAGGGGGAGGCAGAUUUGCGUGACCAGUCCCAGCGUGACUUUUCCCUUUGGCUAAAUCAGUUUGGGGUCCCAAAAUUUAAUUUCCUUUUGCAAGAGAUAACAUGUUACACACAAUCCCUUUUCAAUGCUUCUGAUUCACUUCCUUACCCUUUAUAAUGUGAGAAUCUCACAUAAUUUAGUGUGACUCAAGUUAUAAGAUACAUUUUUUAUAACAGGACUCCCAAAUGCAAACAUACUAUUUAUCUAGUACUCUAAAAAGUUUCAAAGGCCAUUUAUUUUUAUGCUGAAAGUAAAAACAGCUGAAUUAGACUCUUUGAAAAGGACUUUCAAUGGUAAUUUAGCCAAAAUAGAUUUUUCUGAGAUAUAAUUCACAUGCCAUAAUAUUUACCCCUUCAGAUGAGUGUACAAUUCAUUGGUUUUCAGUUUAUUCCAAAAGUUGUGCAACCAUUACUACUAUCUAAUUCCAGAACAUGUUCAUCCCAAAAAGAAGGCUUGUACAGGCUUUUAUCAUUCUGCACCCUGCCAUGCCCUCCAACUCCUGGCAAUCACUAAUCUACUUUCUGUCUGUGUAGAUUUACCUAUUCUGGACAUUUCAUAUAAGUGAAAUUAUACAAUAUGUGGCCUUUGUACACAUAUUACUUCACUCAUCAAUAUAUUUUAAAGGUUCAUCCAUGUUGUAACAUGAAUCAUUACUUCAUUCCUUUUUAUGGCUGAGCCUAAAUGGAUUUUUGUCUUAUGCAUUGACUUUGCAGUUGUUGUUUUUUUUUUAAUAUAUAGAGAUGAGGGCUCACUGUAUUGCCCAGGCUGGCCUCAAACUCUGGGCUCUGGUGAUCCUUCUGCCUCAGCCUCCCAAAAUGCUGGGAUUGCAGGUGUGAGCCACCACACCCAGCCUGACUUCACAAUCUAAUACCACACCCAUACACAGUGUUUCCAGUGAGUAACUUCACUGUGUAAAUCUAAUUCUUUCGUAGUCUAUCCUGGUCUCUUCUUUCUUUUGACAAGGUACUGUUUGAACUGUGGAAACACCUUAAAGGAGAUGAUACUGAGGACUUAACUCUGACAUUUUUCCCCUCCUCCCCGAAUUCCUAUCUAAGGGGCCUGUGGAGUCACACCCUACAAAACAUAAAAUGUUAUCAAAUGGGCCGGGCGCGGUGGCUCACGCCUGUAAUCCCAGCACUUUGGGAGGCUGAGGUGGGUGGAUCACGAGGUCAGGAGUUCGAGACCAGUCUGGCCAACAUAGUGAAACCCCGUCUACCAAAAAUACACAAAAAAUUAGCUGGGCGUGGUGGUGUGUGCCUGUAAUCCCAGCUCCUCAGGAGGCUGAGGCAGGAGAAUCACAUGAACCCAGGAGGUGGAGGUUGCAGUGAGCCAAUAUCGUGCCACUGCA
rnacentral:lncRNA from 10 species